CUCCGCCCUUUGUUGACAGACGAGAUCAAUAUUUAUAUUGGCAAUAAGCACUCCCCACACUCUUCACAUGCAUAAAUCGUGGCUCAUAAGUGCACAUUUCCACCCAAGCGCUGAUCUCUCUAAAUAUAAUAGCUUCUAUGGAAGCCAGCUCGCUCAUCCCUGUGACAACGCUUGGACAAGAAAUCCACUCAUGUGAUGGAAUUCUUAUCCUUUGCCAGUUAAGUUAGUUUGGUUAGGUUUAGAUUAGUUCAGUUAGGUUAGGUUGUCAUUUUGGUUAGAAUAGGUUAGUUUUGUUAGGUCUGGUGUAACUUGAUAUUUCAUGGUCCUAAUCUAAACUAUCCUACCCUGACAUUCCUAACCUCCAGUAUAACAUAUCAGUUAAUUAAACCCAAGAGAGAAAUAAAAAGCAGAAAAGUAAUUAUAUAUUUUCCUCUGUGUGAAUAAAAUAAUUAUAUCUAUUUCACUGUCCUAACUCCUCCUAAUCUGUUGUAGCCUAACCCCUGGGACAAAAUAUCAAUGAAAUGACCCAGGCAGAAAUUUAAAAACUGCCAAAAUUAAACUUUUUAAAAUGUAAAGAAAUGGAUCAGGUGAAGUAGAAGGCAGUCAUCCCUCUAUGCUGGCUUCACCUCUCACUUAUUAUAAGCCAAACAUGUCAUAAUAUGGAGCCACAUGACUAAGCUUUCACAUCUGCUGGUCAGAUGUAUCCACCAUUGCCUGAUUUUAGUGUGAUGAAGGUUUAAGUAGUAAGUCAUUGUCCAUCUAUCCUAUUCAUGGUCUUCCUCUUAAUGUUACAUCUUGUUCACCUAUCAUUCUUCUACCAUUCUCUCUCUACAUGUAGAUACAAGCGAGCCUAACGCUCAGUACUCUGCUUGAUCAGAUCUCUCUCCUCUAACAGCAGUUCUUCACAUUUCAUAAUUUUUCUCUUGAUUCAUAAAUAUUACACCAUGCAAAUUACUCAGAUACCUCGUUUCAAUUAUGGUCAAUCUUCUCUCCUCUCCUCCUCAUAUUUCAUGUUUAAGCACCAUGCAGUCUCUUUGGAACCACUGCAAUCUCAUGAUAUCUUUUUUGCAUUCAUUCUAAGCAAUCUAGAACCUGUAUGCACUCUGUUCAUCCCUCCUCCCACACCUUUUUUUACUUCAUUCAUAGAUUAAUAUAUAUUCAUUUUCCUAUACCAACAUGCACUCUAAGGUACUUGAAACAAUAUGAAAUUUCCCCUUUAAAUGUUUCUAAAUAAUCCUAAGUUGUGAUGUUAUAAUGUACAAAAAUACACUGUGGAAAGAACAGCUAAUCAAAGAUUAGAACUGAGCUGGAAAAUCCAAAUUCUUGUCUUUCUGUGUUAUUCUGCCCAUCUCUCAUCCAUCACUGAAGGAAACAGCAAAGACAAGCAUUAUUACAAGGUUAGGCUUUUAUUCCAAAUGAGAACUGCUACAACACUGUAUAAAUUAUGACGAGAAUUGGCAAAUGUAAACUUGUGAUUGUUCCUCCCACACAGUUCUGGAUCAAACAUACACAUAACAAGCAAAACAAAGUUAUCUUUUGGAUGAGAGUGAGAAUUGAAAAGUGUAUUGGUAAAGUAAGGGAACAGUGUCCAAGGUGGGUGAAAUAAUGAUCAAGAACUUCAAGGGAAGAACGUGGAAGCAGAUCGAGGGAGCCGCAGUCCAGCGGCAUUCAGCGCUCUGCAAGUUGAGCUUCUUUACGAAUAUUCAACAAAUGAUACACAGUACAUAUUAAAAAGUCGACAGAGCGCCUGCAAAUGGAGAUAAAGUUUGCUGGGAAAUAAACCAUAAAGGUCUUUGCCAACACAUGUCGGGUACUCGGGUGCUCCCAGCGGCAGGGGGGGGUGGGGAGCACACAGUCGCUCUCAGAGAAAUUCAUUAUUACAAAAGGUCACUGUUGAGAUGCCGUCUCCACCAUUGGGGGAUGGCAACUCACAUCAGCAUUGUUUUUCUCCCAGUAUAUGUGUUUUAAUUACAAGUAGAUGAAGUAGUAAAAUUAUGUAGAAAAUAAGUCCCCACUAUCCUGUGGUGACUACAAUUCACCUUGAGAUACAUACAAAUAUUUCCACAAUAACAAUGUUUGUGCAGUAAGACAUAUUGUCACUUUUUAUAUGUAAAGGUUUACAUUGUGCUACUUACUCCUUGGUAGGAAAAAAAGAAAAAAAGAUUAUUAUUUUCCACAUCUAAUACUGACCUCAUAUAAAAACUACUGUAAAAAAUGUGGCCACUCUGCAAGUUGGGUCACUAAAUGGCCUUGCCUGUUGUCACUGUACAGAGCUGGUGGUUCACUCUUGUUCACCAGUAGAUUUAUAAACAAAUUGCAAUAGCUGUACGACAGAGUCCAUGGAACUCCAGGUGGAGGUGAGCUGAUGUUGUCAGAACUCAAAACAGUUCAUGGUGGCAUAAAAAAAAAACGACAAAAGGGCCUCAUAACCCUUCUGCCGAUAGGAGCAACUCAGAUGCAUCACAGGUGUCGUGCCAAGUCCCUAAAGCGGGAACUUCCUUACUUAAUACUUUUGGCGGCAGACUUUAUUCAAAAAUGCCAGAAAAAACAUCAGGAUCGUUCCGAGGCAGGUACUGACAGUGGUCGAGUGGGUGUCUGUUUGUGCAGAACAUGAGGGACACCUGUUUGAUGCAUCUCUGGGUUGCCUGAUGUGGUGUGUGAGGUGAUGCUUCUCUUGUAACAAAACUCGAUAAAGCACUUCAGACAUCGACGUCGAGAGGAAACUCCCCACCUGAAGUGUCUGUAGGGUGAGUGAUCCGUUCAUAUGCUUCUGCCAAACCAGCCUCUCCUGCACUCACACGAGGGGAGCAAGUGAAUCCUUUUUACAGUUUGUGGUGAUAAAGGAACGUAAGACCUAUGGGAAUGCUAAAGAUAUAUACAGUCUGAGGAGUUUUUUGUACAGAUUUAUAAAUUCUAGCUUUAUUAAUUAGAAAUGUAAAAUAUCUUAUAAUAUGCCAUAGCAAGCUUGGGUAAUGUGACUCUAUAUAUCUUUCAGCAUCAGGGGGAUGAAAGGGGGCCAAGCCUGGUGAUGGCCCA